rnacentral:rRNA from 1 species
AGAUUGAACGCUGGCGGCAGGCCUAACACAUGCAAGUCGAGCGGUAGAGAGGUGCUUGCACCUCUUGAGAGCGGCGGACGGGUGAGUAAUGCCUAGGAAUCUGCCUAGUGGUGGGGGAUAACGUUCGGAAACGGACGCUAAUACCGCAUACGUCCUACGGGAGAAAGCGGGGGACCUUCGGGCCUCGCGCCAUUAGAUGAGCCUAGGUCGGAUUAGCUAGUUGGUGAGGUAAUGGCUCACCAAGGCGACGAUCCGUAACUGGUCUGAGAGGAUGAUCAGUCACACUGGAACUGAGACACGGUCCAGACUCCUACGGGAGGCAGCAGUGGGAAUAUUGGACAAUGGGCGAAAGCCUGAUCCAGCCAUGCCGCGUGUGUGAAGAAGGUCUUCGGAUUGUAAAGCAACUUUAAGUUGGAGGAAGGUUGUAACUUAAUACGUGCUAAUUUGACGUUACGACAGAAUAAGCACCGGCUAACUUCGUAGCCAGCAGCCG